GCCGGGCACGGUGGCACAUGCUUGUAAUCUCAGUGGCUCGGGAGGCUGAGGCAGGAGGAUCACGAGUUCAAAGCCAGCCUCACCAAUGGUGAGGCCCUAAGCAACUUAGUGAGACCCUGUCUCUA
rnacentral:sRNA from 1 species